CCCUUAGAUGUCCUGGGCCGCACGCGCGUUACACUGAUGCAUUCAACGAGCUUAUAACCUUGGCCGAGAGGCCUGGGCAAUCUUGUUAACGUGCAUCGUGAUAGGGAUAGAUUAUUGAAAGUAUUAAUCUUGAACGAGGAAUUCCUAGUAAACGCAGAUCAUCAAUCUGCAUUGAUUACGUCCCUGCCCUUUGUACACACCGCCCGUCGCACCUACCGAUUGGAUGGUCCGGUGAAGCCUCGGGAUUGUGGUUCUUGCCGCUUUAUUGUGGCGUGACCGCGAGAACUUGUCUAAACCUUAUCAUCUAGAGGAAGGUGAAGUCGUAACA
rnacentral:rRNA from 1 species